GCCAUGGGGCCGAUAUGCGACUGCCCCGUGAGGCGCCAGCCCAAAGUCGCAUCCACUGUUUUGCCAGAGGAUGUGCCAUG
rfam:Roseovarius aestuarii strain CECT 7745 genome assembly, contig: 0006